rnacentral:rRNA from 1 species
GAUGAACGCUGGCGGCGUGCCUAAUACAUGCAAGUCGAGCGAAGCGGGGACGGGUGAGUAACACGUGGAUACCCUCCUAUAACAUCGGGAUAACUUCGGGAAACGAGAGCUAAACCGGAUACUUUUAGACGGAUCGCCGCUGCAUUACCUUGUUGGUAAGGUAAGGGCCUACAAGGGUAACGAUGGAUAGCCGACUGGAGAGGGGGAUUGGCCACACUGGAACUGAGACACUGUCCAGACGCCUACGUGAGGCAGCAGUAGGGAAUCUUGCGCAAUGGGCGAAAGCCUGACGGAGCAACGCCGCUUGAGUGAUGAGGGACGUCGGAUCGUAAAACGCUGUUAUUAGGGAAGCGGUACCUAAUCAGAAGGACACGGCUAACUACGUGCCAGCAGCCGAGGUAAUAC